rnacentral:rRNA from 2 species
UUAGAGACCGGCGCACGGGUGCGUAACGCGUAUGCAAUCUACCUUUCACAGAGGGAUAGCCCAGAGAAAUUUGGAUUAAUACCUCAUAGUAUAGCAGUUUCGCAUGAAACCACUAUUAAAGUCACAACGGUGAAAGAUGAGCAUGCGUCCCAUUAGCUAGUUGGUAAGGUAACGGCUUACCAAGGCAACGAUGGGUAGGGGUCCUGAGAGGGAGAUCCCCCACACUGGUACUGAGACACGGACCAGACUCCUACGGGAGGCAGCAGUGAGGAAUAUUGGACAAUGGGCGCAAGCCUGAUCCAGCCAUGCCGCGUGCAGGAUGACGGUCCUAUGGAUUGUAAACUGCUUUUAUACGAGAAGAAACCCUCCGACGUGUCGGAGCUUGACGGUAUCGUAAGAAUAAGGAUCGGCUAACUCCGUGCCAGCAGCCGCGGUAAUACGGAGGAUCCAAGCGUUAUCCGGAAUCAUUGGGUUUAAAGGGUCCGUAGGCGGUCAGGUAAGUCAGUGGUGAAAGCCCAUCGCUCAACGGUGGAACGGCCAUUGAUACUGUCUGACUUGAAUUAUUAGGAAGUAACUAGAAUAUGUAGUGUAGCGGUGAAAUGCUUAGAGAUUACAUGGAAUACCAAUUGCGAAGGCAGGUUACUACUAAUGGAUUGACGCUGAUGGAC